rnacentral:rRNA from 1 species
CAGCAGCCGCGGUAAUACGGAGGGUGCAAGCGUUAAUCGGAAUUACUGGGCGUAAAGCGCACGCAGGCGGUUUGUUAAGUCAGAUGUGAAAUCCCCGAGCUUAACUUGGGAACUGCAUUUGAAACUGGCAAGCUAGAGUCUUGUAGAGGGGGGUAGAAUUCCAGGUGUAGCGGUGAAAUGCGUAGAGAUCUGGAGGAAUACCGGUGGCGAAGGCGGCCCCCUGGACAAAGACUGACGCUCAGGUGCGAAAGCGUGGGGAGCAAACAGGAUUAGAUACCCCUGUAGUCCCUGUCUCUUAUAA